UUGCUGGGUGUUUGUUGCCAGUGUUCACAACUAUUGUCGUCAAUUAUGCGCCUUGAAUAAUCUAUUGUCUUGUGAAUAUUGCCUCGAGAAUUGAGACUUAACAAGGUCAUGAGAUUCGUGCCGACUUUCGAAAUUAUUUCUUUUAUGUUGUUUCGUUAUGAUUUGACAUUAAUAUCCGGUCAGUGAAUCUCAUGCCCAAAAAUUUGCGGCUUCAUACUUUAUCCCGCAAAAACCAAAAGUAAAUAUUUUGUGAAUCACUGCUCACGUGCGCUUGUUUAAUAUAAAAAUAUGCAUGUAGCAUCGUAUAUGUUUACAAAAACGUAAUAAAUUGACAUUAGUGAGAGUCACAAAAGAGGGAAACAUUAAUGAAAGAAGUGUAAUUGCAUGGACACUUGAACUGACACAUUACAAAUAGAGACAAAGAAUUGUAUAGGAUCUUAAACGUAACGUGGGUCCAAUGUACAGUGUAUAGGGUAUGGUAUUUAAAUUAAGCUGUGGUGGCCAGUGGUUUGAUUUUGGUGAUUAAUUAAGCACUGGUUUAAAUUCUUUCACGUAGUUCCAAUCAAAACAAUCGCAGCUUAAUAUGUAAGAUCUUUGACCACAUUGAAAGUCGAAACCACCAAAGGGCAAAGUGAAAUGGUUGAUGAUCAUCUGGUCGUUUCAGCGCAUUAAAAGUGACGACGUGUUUCCUCUAUUAUUAAGGGCAGUUUAAGGUGAUAAUAUACAAGUUCGUUUCGAAAGAAACAGAAUGAUCCAGAACGUUAAUCGUUUUACAAGUUCGUUUCAAAAGAAACAGAAUUAUCCAGAACGUUAAUCGUUUUACAAGUAAGAAGUGUCAAAGAUUAUUGGAUUAAGAAGUAACGUCGUAAGACAAGUGUUUGUUAAUUAACAGAAUUUGGCUUUCAUUUGACGGUUAUAGUCAAUUGAUUCAGUUCAAUUGACUCCAAACUGCACAAACAAAGUUAACUGCAUCAACUAGAUUUACAUUUGCGUGGGGUGAUUUUUAGUAGUGAUAACACAACACUAAUUAUGACUCAUUUACUAAGAAAAUGUUCGGCGUUUUAAUAAACAGUUACUUAUCCCAAUGCGCUUUAUCAUACAUCGAGUAUUACGCUUAACGAAUUGCAUGUACAGUAUAUUUAGCCUAGGUUAUUUUGUCUUUUCUGUGUUUAGCCUUCCCCCCACCUCUCCCCCUCCCCCCCCUCCCGAUCAACUUUCCCUAUGAG